rnacentral:rRNA from 1 species
GCACCUACGGGAGGCAGCAGUGGGGAAUAUUGCACAAUGGGGGGAACCCUGAUGCAGCGACGCCGCGUGGGUGAAGGAGUACUUCGGUACGUAAAGCCCUAUCAGCAGGAAAGAAAAUGACGGUACCUGACCAAGAAGCCCCGGCUAACUACGUGCCAGCAGCCGCGGUAAUACGUAGGGGGCAAGCGUUAUCCGGAAUUACUGGGUGUAAAGGGAGCGUAGACGGUGAUGCAAGUCUGGAGUGAAAGGCGGGGGCCCAACCCCCGGACUGCUCUGGAAACUGUAUGACUUGAGUGCAGGAGAGG